GGAAGGGCCAUAGGUGCAGUGGUAGAAGCUCUGCCUUGCAUGCAGAACGCCCCAGGUUCGAAACCCCGGUGUCUCCA